AUUGAACGCUGGCGGCAUGCCUUACACAUGCAAGUCGAACGGUAACGGGUCCUUCGGGAUGCCGACGAGUGGCGAACGGGUGAGUAAUAUAUCGGAACGUGCCCAGUAGUGGGGGAUAACUGCUCGAAAGAGCAGCUAAUACCGCAUACGACCUGAGGGUGAAAGGGGGGGAUCGCAAGACCUCUCGCUAUUGGAGCGGCCGAUAUCAGAUUAGCUAGUUGGUGGGGUAAAGGCCUACCAAGGCAACGAUCUGUAGUUGGUCUGAGAGGACGAGCAGCCUUACUGGGACUUUGGUACGGCGUCCACGCCGACAGGGGGAGUCAGUGGGGAUUGUUAGACUAUGGGCUAAAGAUUGAUCCAGCAAUGCCGGGUGGAGGAAGUAGUCCUUCGGCUUGUGACCUUCUUUUUCCAGGGAAGAAAGCUUCUGGCCUAACACCCCGGGAGGAUGACGGUACCUGAAGAAUAAGCACCGGCUAACUACGUGCCAGACGCUGUUGUAA
rnacentral:rRNA from 1 species